UACGUAGGGUGCGAGCGUUAAUCGGAAUUACUGGGCGUAAAGCGUGCGCGGGCGGUUUUGUAAGACAGAUGUGAAAUCCCCGGGCUUAACCUGGGAAUGGCAUUUGGGACUGCAAGGCUUGAGUGCGGCAGAGGAGACUGGAAUUCCUGGUGUAGCAGUGAAAUGCGUAGAUAUCAGGAGGAAUACCGAUGGCGAAGGCAGGUCUCUGGGCUGACACUGACGCUCAUGCACGAAAGCGUGGGGAGCAAACAGG
rnacentral:rRNA from 1 species